UCGUGCUUGUCGUUUUGGUCCGCUCGGCUCGCUAAUCCGGUGAGUUUAGCUCACUAAACCUCGCUUAGAGGGUUAAUUAUGCUUUAGGUGUGCUUAGCUUAAGUUGAUUAAGCUUAGGUGGUUAAUUUAGUUGAUUUAAUUAUGAUUUAGAUUAAGAUGUUUGUUUAAUCUAAAGUAUGUUUAAUUAAAUGCUAAGAGGGUUUAUUUAAAGUUAAGCCUUGAUGUGACACAAAAUGAUUUUAGUUUUGAAUUAUUUAAGUGCUUCGAAAUUCUGGAAAAUAUAAUAUUAUAUUAUAAUCCGAAAUUAUUAAAAUAUUAUUAUUUAUAAAAAAAAAUCAGAAAAAUUAUUUUUGACCCCGGUUGCUCAGAAUUUCGUGCCGAUCGCUGCUGUGCAUUUAGAAUUUGAUAUUUAUGAUUGGUUGUGGCGAAUUGAAUGUGAUUUCGAUAUAUAUGGAUUCUUUAUAAAUUUCUAAGUGUGGAAAUUGAUGGGCGAUUGGCCGUGAUAUGCCACCUACUAGAGGUCGCGCCCAGUGGGGCCAUGAUAUGCCACCUAUUAGAGGUCGCGCCCGAUGGGGCCGUUAUAUGCCACCUAUUAGAGGUCGCGCCCGAUGGGGCCGUUAUAUGCCACCUAUUAGAGGUCGCGCCCGAUGGGGCCGUGAUAUGCCACCUAUUAGAGGUCGCGCCCGAUGGGGCCGCUAUAUGCCACCUAUUAGAGGUCGCGCCCGAUGGGGCCGUUAUAUGCCACCUAUUAGAGGUCGCGCCCGAUGGGGCCGUUAUAUGCCACCUAUUAGAGGUCGCGCCCAAUGGGGCCGUGAUAUGCCACCUGAUAAAGGUCGCGCCCAAUGGGGCCGUGAUAUGCCACCUAUUAAAGGUCGCGCCGAGUGGGGCCGUGAUGCCACUGAUUCUAAUUUUGCCGAGUAGGGCCGUGAUUGUGAGCAAUGAUUGAUUUGCUAGAAUGACAUGUAAUCAGCGGAGUCGAUUGAUCGCUGAGACGAUCCAAGUGGUUGAAUUGUUUGAUAAUGUGAUUGUGCCAUGGUUGUUUGGUUAUCAUAAUUGCACGUGGUUGGUUUAUAUAAAUUGUGCUAACCUGCAGAUAAAGGCUGAGGCGAGGUAAGUCUUAUGUGUGAUGUGGCUAGGCCACUCGGGGCGUAUUUUCUUUCUAAUAGGGGUUUAGGGGGUUGAACUUGCUUAGACAUCGUCUCAUCCCGGUUGUGGGAUUAAAAUUUCAGGUCCCCGGUGGACGGAGCGGCCAGAUAGCUUUGGUUGGCAUUGAGGAGUUGCAGAGGUGAAGUCAUAAGAUUGGAGAACGUGUCCGACUUGUAGGUCGUAGGACAAUUCUUUUUUUUAAGAGCCGGUCUUUUGUAGACUUUUGGCCGUAGACCUCUGUUUGUAAUUCUGUUGAAUUAUGGAAGUGUUAUGUUGUGGUUUUGCUUUCUGCUAUUCUAUCCCGUAUUUUAUUGUC
rnacentral:lncRNA from 1 species